GAAUGCUGACAUGAGUAACGAUAAUGGGUGUGAAAAACACCCACGCCGAAAGACCAAGGUUUCCUGCGCAACGUUAAUCGACGCAGGGUUAGUCGGUCCCUAAGGCGAGGCUGAAAAGCGUAGUCGAUGGAAAACAGGUUAAUAUUCCUGUACUUCUGGUUAUUGCGAUGGAGGGACGGAGAAGGCUAGGCCAGCUUGGCGUUGGUUGUCCAAGUUUAAGGUGGUAGGCUGG
rnacentral:rRNA from 1 species